AGAGAUUGCAGGGUGGAGCGUGGUGGGGAGAGUUAAAAUCGUGCAUGUAUUUGUGCGCUGUUGCCGGUCUCGUCUGCUUCCACACACUACAUAGCCGCCGGUGCGUGUACGUGUGGGUCCCGUCAAACGGAGGCGCCAUCUAGCGGAGCAUUAGUAAAUUAGAGUCCAGCGACCAAUUUGGCCGUGUUUCUCGAACAU